GUUCCAUUUAGCGUUCUUCUGGGCUUACGACUACAAUGGUAAUGAUAACGUCGAGCUGCGAAAGGGGCAUUAGAGGAAAGCUAUUCGAAAAUGGUAAAUGGUACGGAAGGAACUCGACAUAUGAUGGACAAUGGCUUAGCACACCAACUGCGGAGCAAAGACAGCACAAAGGAGUCUCCUUAUCGCUCCACAAGUAUGGUGAGGGGAUAUCGAAUGUCAAAGCUGUCACUGUCAAAGGGAGAAAUUCUUUUGUGCGCCCAAGAAGUGAGUGUUUGCUUAGAUAAUUACGUGUUAACGAGCAAAUCUCGUUGGAUUAUAAAAGAACACCUUGUGAAUAAACAAAGAGGUUGAAAAAAAAAAAAAAAACAAACAGGUAAUGUUUGCA